rnacentral:rRNA from 1 species
UACAGAGGUCUCAAGCGUUGUUCGGAUUCAUUGGGCGUAAAGGGCGCGUAGGCGGCCGAUCAAGUCGGGGGUGAAAGCCUGUGGCUCAACCACAGAAUUGCCUUCGAUACUGUUUGGCUUGAGACCGGAAGAGGUUAGUGGAACUGCGAGUGUAGAGGUGAAAUUCGUAGAUAUUCGCAAGAACACCAGUGGCGAAGGCGGCUGACUGGUCCGGUUCUGACGCUGAGGCGCGAAAGCGUGGGGAGCAAACAGG